GACGAACGCUGGCGGCGUGCCUAAUACAUGCAAGUUGAGCGCUGAAGGUUGGUACUUGUACCAACUGGAUGAGCAGCGAACGGGUGAGUAACGCGUGGGGAAUCUGCCUUUGAGCGGGGGACAACAUUUGGAAACGAAUGCUAAUACCGCAUAAAAACUUUAAACACAAGUUUUAAGUUUGAAAGAUGCAAUUGCAUCACUCAAAGAUGAUCCCGCGUUGUAUUAGCUAGUUGGUGAGGUAAAGGCUCACCAAGGCGAUGAUACAUAGCCGACCUGAGAGGGUGAUCGGCCACAUUGGGACUGAGACACGGCCCAAACUCCUGCGGGAAGCAGCAGUAGGGAAUCUUCGGCAAUGGACGAAAGUCUGACCGAGCAACGCCGCGUGAGUGAAGAAGGUUUUCGGGUCGUAAAACUCUGUUGGUAGAGAAGAACGUUGGUGAGAGUGGAAAGCUCAUCAAGUGACGGUAACUACCCAGAAAGGGACGGCUAACUACGUG
rnacentral:rRNA from 1 species